rnacentral:tRNA from 1 species
AAGAAUGUAAUAUAAUGGUAGUAUGAUGAUCUCCAAAAUCAUUCGUGAGUGUUCAAAUCGCUCCAUUCUUG